GGGCUUGUGGCUCAGUUGGUAGAGCGUUCGCUUAGCAAAUUUCAGAGGCAUCCAUCUCCAUGGGUGCUGAUGACGGGUUUCUGCAAUCGCUUGCGAAAGGUCCUGGGUUCGAUUCCCAGCCAGUCCA